GAAUAAAUUGUUAUCUCUUCCCUCUCUAAACUAAACUCUCUCCCUUCUCACUAAAAGUCUUCGUCUCAUAGCAGUCCAAGGGGGAGGUCUGCCCAUUUGGCCAUUGAACCUCCCCUCACCCCUUCUUUUUUUUUAAGAUAGCACUUUAGUUUUUAUGGAAGUUCUAUUUUGUUUUCUUCCUAGAUGAUGAUGGGUUGAUGAGUUGCGGUGGGGAAGCUCAACAUGUUGAAGGUAGCUUCCUCUGUGAUUUGUUGUAAAGCUUCUCGGAGUAGGUGUUGGCUGGUAGUUUCAGAGAUUGGUUUAGAUCUAGUCUCUUUUGCAAGCCCUUUCCCGAAUUGAUCUAGCAAUGGCUCGAGUCACAUGCUCUCCUAUGGUGUUUUGCUGCUUAGGUUUUCCAAGUGUUGAGCAAGGGAGGUUCUUGUGUUCAAUGACGUGUUUAUGCUAUCCUUGUAAUAUUGAUGGUCUCCUUUGCAUGUUGUUUUUUCAAGCUGCCUUAAAAUUUUAUUUGUAAGGCCAGUUAAGUGUUACUGGUGAAGAUGAGGUUGAAAUUGGUGGUAGCUAAAUUGGGUUUUCGGUUCCUAUCCGUUUUAGUCUAGAGCUCUAUGGUCAUUAGGGUUUGGGCCUUUAUUCCUGAACUUGGGUUAGAUUGGA
rnacentral:misc_RNA from 1 species